rnacentral:misc_RNA from 1 species
CAGGUGCUUCCUGAUCUUGUUGCUGCUCAGGAGUGGCUCGUUGGGGAAGAGGGUAAGGCUGCAAACAUGCGAUCCUAGGAGCGAUAAGUUCGAGACAUGAAAUUUUAGAAAUUUAUGAACUAAACAGAAUGUAAUGCAUCAAUGCGAACAGGGAGUACUUGAUUUGUGCGGGAAGACCUGGAAACUCGACACUGUCAAGGUAUUCAAUCUUGUUAUUGAGAUUACAAGUUUCAUCACCUGUAAAAUCUCAGUAGGGUUUUGAGUCCUUUGUUUCGG